rnacentral:rRNA from 1 species
UACAGAGGUCCCAAGCGUUGUUCGGAUUCACUGGGCGUAAAGGGUGCGUAGGUGGUGGUGUAAGUUUGGUGUGAAAUCUCCGAGCUCAACUCGGAAACUGCACUAAAUACUACAUUGCUGGAGGGUCGGAUGGGAGACUGGAAUUCUCGGUGUAGCAGUGAAAUGCGUAGAUAUCGAGAGGAACACCAGUGGCGAAAGCGAGUCUCUGGACGACUCCUGACACUGAGGCACGAAAGCUAGGGGAGCAAACAGG